rnacentral:tRNA from 1 species
GGAAUUGUGGCUCAGCAGUAGAGCACUUACCUGGCACAUGCAAGGUGCUGGGUUCAAUCCCCAGCACCA